UCUAAAGUUUAAAGAAUUAACUU
rnacentral:snRNA from 1 species